UACGUAGGGUCCGAGCGUUGUCCGGAAUUAUUGGGCGUAAAGAGCUCGUAGGCGGUCUGUCACGUCGGCUGUGAAAACCCGGGGCUCAACCCCGGGCCUGCAGUCGAUACGGGCAGACUAGAGUUCGGUAGGGGAGACUGGAAUUCCUGGUGUAGCGGUGAAAUGCGCAGAUAUCAGGAGGAACACCGGUGGCGAAGGCGGGUCUCUGGGCCGAAACUGACGCUGAGGAGCGAAAGCGUGGGGAGCGAGCAGG
rnacentral:rRNA from 1 species